AAACGCUGUGAACUGAAACAUCUCAUUAGCAGCAGGAAUAUAAAGAAAUUUCGAUUCCCUAAGUAGCGGCGAGCGAACGGGGAACAGCCCAAACCAAAGUGCUUGCACUUUGGGGUUGUAGGACUGAACAUUUGAGUUACCAAAGAACUUGAUAGUCGAAGGAUUUGGGAAAAUCCGCCAUAGAUGGUGAUAGCCCAGUAGAUUAAAUCAAAUUCUCUCAGUUCAGGAUCCUGAGUACGGCGGAACACGUGAAAUUCCGUCGGAAUCCGGGAGGACCAUCUCCCAAGGCUAAAUACUACCUAGUGACCGAUAGUGAACCAGUACCGUGAGGGAAAGGUGAAAAGCACCCCGGGAGGGGAGUGAAAUAGUUCCUGAAACCAUGUGCCUACAAUAAGUCAGAGCGCGUUAAUGCGUGAUGGCGUGCCUUUUGUAGAAUGAACCGGCGAGUUAUGAUCCCGUGCAAGGUUAAGACUAAAAAGUCGGAGCCGUAGCGAAAGCGAGUCUGAAAUGGGCGCUUUGAGUACGAGGUUAUAGACCCGAAACCAGGUGACCUAUCCAUGUCCAGGUUGAAGGUGCGGUAAAACGCACUGGAGGACCGAACCCGUGUAAGUUGAAAAUUGCUGGGAUGAGGUGUGGAUAGCGGUGAAAUUCCAAACGAACUUGGAGAUAGCUGGUUCUCUCCGAAAUAGCUUUAGGGCUAGCCUCGGAAUUAGGAUCAUGGAGGUAGAGCACUAUUUGGACUAGGGGCCCGUCUUGGGUUACUGAAUUCAGAUAAACUCCGAAUGCCAUUGAUUCAUAUCCGGGAGUCAGACGAUGAGUGAUAAGAUCCACCGUCGAAAGGGGAACAGCCCAGACCAUCAGUUAAGGUCCCUAAAUGUAUGCUAAGUGGAAAAGGAUGUG
rnacentral:rRNA from 1 species